rnacentral:rRNA from 1 species
GAUGAACGCUAGCGGGAGGCUUAACACAUGCAAGUCGAGGGGCAGCAUAGGGUAGCAAUACUCUGAUGGCGACCGGCAAACGGGUGAGUAACGCGUAUGCAACCUACCCUGUACAGGGGGAUAACCCGGAGAAAUUCGGACUAAUAUCCCGUAAUAAUAUCCGGAGGCAUCUUUGGAUAUUUAAAGUUUCGACGGUACGGGAUGGGCAUGCGUAACAUUAGCUGGUUGGUAAGGUAACGGCUUACCAAGGCUAUGAUGUUUAGGGGUCCUGAGAGGGUGGUCCCCCACACUGGUACUGAGACACGGACCAGACUCCUACGGGAGGCAGCAGUGAGGAAUAUUGGUCAAUGGGCGCAAGCCUGAACCAGCCAUCCCGCGUGCAGGAAGACGGCCCUAUGGGUUGUAAACUGCUUUUCCAGGGAGAGAAACUUACGCACGUGUUGCGUGACUGACGGUACCCUGGGAAUAAGCAUCGGCUAACUCCGUGCCAGCAGCCGCGGUAAUCA